GCCGCCCUGGCCUCCCUGCCGCCGCACAGCCCAUCUGGCCCCAAGCCCGCCCCAGCUGGGCCGCCCGACGCCCCGGUCGCGGGGGGCCCUCACAGCCCCGCAGAGGUCUGAGACUAGGGCAGAAGCGCCAGGCGUCAGGCGUCUACCCAUGCCAGCACCUGGGCUAGCCGCUGGGUUCAUCCUGAUGGGGCAGAAGCCGCCCUAGAAGGACCAUCCAGGAUGUGCCACACAAACCCCAUCCCUGCCCCUGCCGUCCCCCCGAAGGUGCACCCAAUACAGCAGCAGGCGGCAUCUCAGGAUUAGAGGCCAGCUUUCUGGAGCCAGCCACUGUGGUUGCAGAUCCCCAGAGAUCAUUCUAGAUGCCAUAUAUGCAGUGGCUUGGAGGAGCCGGUGGUCUUUUUGGGAGAUGCUGAAGCCUGAACCCGAAUGAGGGGAGAUGCAAGGUUCUGGACAAGUGGGGAUGACAGGGCCUGCUGUAAGGACCUGAGCAGGUUGGGAAGGCUUCGGUGAAGUAAAUCAGAAAGGGCCUGAGCAUCUUCUGCAAGGAAACUGUUCAGCCCCAGAGAGAGGGACAACCUGAAGUCGGCCCCCACUCCAUCGAGGGGGUUAAGGGUUCUGCCUGAGUGCAAGAUCUUGUCUAGUGAGGAUCUCACAUGAUGCCCCCUCCCUACCUCGAGCUGGGAUCCUUGCCAGCCCACUGACUUAUUGCUGUGAUGUGCGUCUGAUU